rnacentral:rRNA from 1 species
UACGUAGGGGGCUAGCGUUGUCCGGAUUUAUUGGGCGUAAAGAGCGUGUAGGCGGCCAGGUAGGUCCGGUGUGAAAACUCGAGGCUUAACCUCGAGAUGUCAUCGGAAACCAUCUGGCUAGAGUCCGGAAGAGGAAAGUGGAAUUCCUGGUGUAGCGGUGAAAUGCGCAGAUAUCAGGAAGAACACCAAUGGCGAAAGCAGCUUUCUGGGACGGUACUGACGCUGGAGACGCGAAGGCGUGGGGAGCGAACGGG